rnacentral:rRNA from 1 species
GACGAACGCUGGCGGCGUGCCUAACACAUGCAAGUCGAGCGAUGAAAUUAGAAACGGAGUCUUCGGACGAAGAGGAAAAUGGAUUAGCGGCGGACGGGUGAGUAACACGUGAGCAACCUGCCUAUCACAUCGGGAUAGCCUCGGGAAACUGGGAUUAAUACCGAAUGAAACAUAAUCACUGCCUAGUGGAAAUGUCAAAGAUUUAUCGGUGAUAGAUGGGCUCGCGUCUGAUUAGCUAGUUGGUGAGGUAAUGGCUCACCAAGGCGACGAUCAGUAGCCGGCCUGAGAGGGUGAACGGCCACAUUGGGACUGAGACACGGCCCAAACUCCUACGGGAGGCAGCAGUGGGGAAUAUUGCACAAUGGAGGGAACUCUGAUGCAGCGACGCCGCGUGAGCGAUGAAGGCUUUCGAGUCGUAAAGCUCUGUCGAAUGGGAAGAUAAUGACGGUACCAUUUGAGAAAGCCCCGGCUAACUACGUGCCAGCAGCCGCCGCAGUAA